GACAGAGGGUGCAAACGUUGCUCGGAAUCACUGGGCGUAAAGGGCGUGUAGGCGGGUAUGUAAGUCGGGCGUGAAAGCCCCCGGCUCAACUGGGGAGGGUCACGCGAUACUGCUCGACUCGAAGGCAGGAGAGGGAAGUGGAAUUCCCGGUGUAGUGGUGAAAUGCGUAGAUAUCGGGAGGAACACCAGUGGCGAAGGCGACUUCCUGGCCUGUUCUUGACGCUGAGGCGCGAAAGCUAGGGUAGCAAACGGG
rnacentral:rRNA from 1 species